GACGAACGCUGGCGGCGUGCUUAACACAUGCCAGUCGAACGGAAAGGCCCUGCUUUUGUGGGGUGCUCGAGUGGCGAACGGGUGAGUAACACGUGAGUAACCUGCCCUUGACUUUGGGAUAACUUCAGGAAACUGGGGCUAAUACCGGAUAGGAGCUCCUGCUGCAUGGUGGGGGUUGGAAAGUUUCGGCGGUUGGGGAUGGACUCGCGGCUAAUCAGCUUGUUGGUGGGGUAGUGGCUUACCAAGGCUUUGACGGGUAGCCGGCCUGAGAGGGUGACCGGCCACAUUGGGACUGAGAUACGGCCCAGACUCCUACGGGAGGCAGCAGUGGGGAAUAUUGCACAAUGGGCGGAAGCCUGAUGCAGCAACGCCGCGUGCGGGAUGACGGCCUUCGGGUUGUAAACCGCUUUCGCCUGUGACGAAGCGUGAGUGACGGUAAUGGGUAAAGAAGCACCGGCUAACUACGUG
rnacentral:rRNA from 1 species